CCUACGGGAGGCAGCAGUGAGGAAUAUUGGUCAAUGGGCGCGAGCCUGAACCAGCCAAGUCGCGUGAGGGAGGACGGCCCUACGGGUUGUAAACCUCUUUUGCCGGGGAGCAACGGGCGUCACGUGUGGCGCCACUGAGAGUACCCGGAGGAAAAGCAUCGGCUAACUCCGUGCCAGCAGCCGCGGUAGUCCGGAGGAUGCGAGCGUUCUCCGGAUUGAUUGGGUUAAAAGGGUGCGUAGGCGGAUCGUUAAGUAAGUGGUCAAAGGGAGGGGCUCAACCCCGUACCGCCAUUGAAACUGGCGCUCUUGAGUGGAAGAGAAGUAUGCGGAAUGCGUGGUGUAGCGGUGAAAUGCAUAGAUAUCACGCAGAACCCCGAUUGCGAAGGCAGCAUGCCGGCUUCCGACUGACGCUGAAGCACGAAAGCGUGGGGAUCGAACAGGAUUAGAUACCCGUGUAGUC
rnacentral:rRNA from 1 species